GAUGAACGCUGGCGGCGUGCUUAACACAUGCAAGUCGAACGGAAAGGCCCAAGCUUGCUUGGGUACUCGAGCGGCGAACGGGUGAGUAACACGUGGGUGAUCUGCCCUGCACUUCGGGAUAAGCCUGGGAAACUGGGUCUAAUACCGGAUAGGACGAUGGUUUGGAUGCCAUUGUGGAAAGUUUUUUCGGUGUGGGAUGAGCUCGCGGCCUAUCAGCUUGUUGGUGGGGUAAUGGCCUACCAAGGCGUCGACGGGUAGCCGGCCUGAGAGGGUGUACGGCCACAUUGGGACUGCGAUACGGCCCAGACUCCUACGGGAGGCAGCAGUGGGGAAUAUUGCACAAUGGGCGCCAGCCUGAUGCAGCGACGCCGCGUGGGGGAUGACGGCCUUCGGGUUGUAAACUCCUUUCGCUAGGGACGAAGCGUUUUUGUGACGGUACCUGGAGAAGAAGCACCGGCUAACUACGUG
rnacentral:rRNA from 1 species